AGAGUCCUGAUGUGUACGUUCUUUAACCUAUAAGUUUUGACCGAACACUUAUAGUUACGGGAGCCCAAGUUUCCGGGCAGCGUAAAUGCCUCCAUAAGAGAGGACUUACAAACGUGCGGAACAGUGCACCCACCUGCGGAGAGCGGGUUCAAAACAAAGGCAUAAACGGCACGAUUGGGACUCUU
rnacentral:other from 2 species